rnacentral:rRNA from 1 species
CAGUAGCCGCGGGAAUACGAAGGGGGCUAGCGUUGUUCGGAAUUACUGGGCGUAAAGCGCACGUAGGCGGAUAUUUAAGUCAGGGGUGAAAUCCCAGAGCUCAACUCUGGAACUGCCUUUGAUACUGGGUAUCUUGAGUAUGGAAGAGGUGAGCGGAAUUCCGAGUGUAGAGGUGAAAUUCGUAGAUAUUCGGAGGAACACCAGUGGCGAAGGCGGCUCACUGGUCCAUUACUGACGCUGAGGUGCGAAAGCGUGGGGAGCAAACAGGAUUAGAUACCCGUGUAGUCCCUGUCUCUUAUAA